rnacentral:lncRNA from 1 species
UAUACAAAUAACACAAUACAAGAAAGUGUCUUCAGAAGGUUUUUCUAUUAGCUUAGCAAGGAAAGGCUAGUACUUUAUUCAUUCUUAAUGCCCAAGACAGUUCACUGACUACAUUAAGAGAUUUGGAGUGGGCAUGCAUGUAGAAAAUGAACCAUCCACUGGAAAAAACUGCAGAUUUAUUGUAGAAGUAUAGAAAAUUUUCAGGAGUUAAAGAGUAUCAAAGUGACACUAAUUUUGGCAUCAAAUAGUUCUAAGUUUUAUACCUGCAUCUAUCUCUAAUUUUGUGAUAUUGGUCAAAAUGCUUAUACUAGGUCUCAUUUCCUAAUCUCAAUAAAGGGGAUAAUAGAACCUAUAGGUUAUGGUUUAAGAUGUAUUUGUUACUGCUCAAUGAGUAAUAGCAGUUGAUAUCAUUAGUAUUCUUAUUAACUGGAUUUCAAAAAUUUCUAAGGCACUUGAGUGCCUUUGAUUCCUCAAAAUCAUUUUUGAAGAUUAUCCCAGGACAAACUCAUCAGUAACUUAAAAAUAUUUUUUGUGCAUUUAUUGUGUUAAGCUUCAUUUUAUAUUCAGAAGUUUAUAAUGCUAACUGAUUUAGAACUUAGAUCUAAAUUACUCUAAUCUUACAACUGCUUGGAUAUGAAGAUAGAUAUUUCUUAUAAAGAGUUUAAACCAUGUCUUUGUCUUUUUAGGCCCACACCCAUGGCAUAUGGAAGUCCCCAGGUUAGGGGUUUAAUCAGAGAUACACCUACUGGCCUAUGCCACAGCCACAGCAACGCCAGAUAUGAGCCAUGUCUGUGACCUACACUACAGCUCCCUGGCAACACCAGAGCAUUAACCCACUGAGCAAGGCCAGGGAUUGAACCUAUGUCCUCGUGGUUGCUAGUCAGAUUCAUUUCCACUGAGCCAUGACAGGAACUCCCCAGAGUUUAAACUUUAGAAAUUCUCACAUAGAAGAAUAAUUUUUAAAACUCUCCUGCUUUGGACUUAGAUUAUAUACAUGCUUUUUAACAUUAAUUUGAAUAGUUCUUGGUGUGUUUAUUACUUGGGUGUCCUAAUGACAUAGUAAGCCUAAGAGAAGAAUUCUACCUUAUACACACUAAAACAGUCUCCUAAUUAAUUGGUAGAAAAAGGAAUGACAAAGUUCAAAAAUUUUUUCUGGUAUACAUAUAUAUUUUCUUUUAUACAUAAAAGAAGUUGAAUCUAUUGUUGGCUACCAAUAUUUUUUCCUAUUAUUCCAUAAUUAUUAUUGUUUAAAGCUUCUGAUGGUAUUUUCCUUAAGUAUAGUCUCAUGUUUGCUGGUAUUUAGACUUGUGACUAUGGAUAAUUAUUCUUCUUAUUUACAAAAUUUUUAUAAAUUUCACUACUACAUAGAAUGAUUACUGUAAUAUCUAUAAAGUAAGAUAAUAUGUUUCAGUUUAGGGUUUUUUUUUUUUUUUUUUUUUUUUUGCCUUUUUAGGGCUGUACCUGUGGUGUAUGGAGGUUCCCAGGCUAGGAGUCUAAUCGGAGCCGUAGCUGCUGGCCUACACCACAGCCACAGCAAUGCCAGAUCUGAGCCAUGUCUGUGACCUAUACCACAGCUCACAGACCUAUACCACCUUGGGUGUCACAGGACACCCAAGUGGCUCCUUAACCCACUGAGCAAGGCCAGGGAUUGAACCUGCAACCUCAUGGUUCCUAGUUGGAUGAGUUUCUGCUGUACCGUGACAAGGACUCCUCAAUUUGAUUGUUUGAAGAAAGGUCACAACAUAUGGCACACAAAAUCAUUAUAAUUAAUAAAAGAACAUUUCACAAGAGAUAGCAACUUCACUAGUGCUUUAUUAUUUAAUUUCUUAAAUAUAAAUUUAAAAAACGUUAAAAAUAGAAUCUGAAUAUAAUAAAUCUAAUUCAUAGUUAAAACUGAUAUUUGCUAAAGAUUUGUGCCAAAGGGAAGCCAAAAACAUCUGUCAACUCUAUACAAUUAAAAUCCAUUCAUGAACUUUUUAAAAAAUCCCAAUUAAUUAAGUAUCUCUUUAAUAUAAAAAUCUUGAAAGGACUUUUCUAUAUUUGUCUUUAUUUAUUUUCCAAAAUAUUUAUUGUGGAUUCAUAUGGAAACAGCCUAUGACAAGGAAAAACAAAGUUUUUAUGGCGAUAAAAUUAGUCAUCCUCUUUGGUCUACUAAUAAAAUUUAUGUGAAAUGAAAAAAGGACAAUAUUUCUAGGUAAUUAGAAAAAAUCACCUUAAUAAGCAGCUAAACUCAAUUUUCUACUUAUUCUUCAGCUAAUGCCUCUUUUUCCUUAAGAGUAACAUAAGUACUUAUUUGAUGAAAAUUAUGCAUUUAGUAGCUAAUGUAUUUAAAUUUGUAUAAUAUGAAAGCCCCACAUGGUUUCCAAGGAUGACUAAUAAUAGAGUAAAUCUAAGUAUUUGGUUAAAAAUAAUAUGAAAUGUGAUUUAUGUAUUGUACUAGAUUUCAUCUGUCAACAUUUCUUCUCUAGUAAACUACCAUAGCAUUAGGUUUUCAUCAUUAGUAAUCAAGUCUUUUUCCAAAAUUUAAACCUAGAAAUGAGUCAGGAAAAAAAUCCACCUUCUGCAUUGUUUUAUUGGCGGCAUCUCAUAUGACAUUAAUGAGUAGAAAGGCUACUAAAAAGAAUGUUGAUAGCUUUAAUAAUUCACGCUUCAAAGUUUUUUUCAUUAGAAAUAUCAAAUUUGUAAUUACCUACUUUCAAUUAUAUCCUUACUUUGAAUUAUAUCCUUAUAUAUUAAUGUUCUAUCACUAAAAUGCUUACCUAAAUUUAAAGAAGUUUAUAACAGUAGUUUAAUAAACUGAGAAAAUUGUUCUGUAGCAUUCUGGAUUAGCAAUAUCACAGACAUAUUUAAAGUGAUGAUAACUUUAGUUUUAGGUUUACUUUUAAGAAUUUACCUUUUUCCACCAUUGUUUAAGGUAAACAGUUGAACAAGCUACAAGCAUGAAAAAAGAAGUCUUCUAAAAAGGGCUUUUAUGCAUGCAGUCUAUUAAAAAAUAAAUGAUCUUUACUUCAAAAUAGAUUAAUUGCAUUACCCGGGCCAAAUGAUAUUUUCUCUCAAGGACAAGAGCUUAGUUAGGGAGCCCAAGGUUCAUUUUGUUAACUAAAUGAAAAUAAAUUGGUGAGAACUUAGAGUUAGCAUCCAAGAGCUCACAGAGAAUUACUCUAACUUGAGAAGGAGAUUAAAAUUUCUCCUAAGAAAGAUACCUUUCUCAAAAAUUCAACCUUGACACCAUUUCUGCCAAUCAUAUCUGUAAAUCAUUACACACACACACACACACACACACACGAUAUUCAGCCAGCAUGCUUUCUCAUUACUUCUGACCUCUCUUACAUUCAUUCAAUUUGCUCUGCGCUUGUACCUUUAUAAUCAUUAAGUAAUUUUGAUUAUUAUUGCUCUUGUACAUACACAUAUAUAUGUGUCUGAAAUAGAGAUCAUAUAUUGAGAAAAAUCUUUAUGAGAAUGUAAUUACUGAUAUUGAAACUCAAGUUAUUUCUAAAACGAUAUCUACUAGAAUGCAGUUGUAUGUACAAGAAAGUAAUAUAAAUGCAAUAAGUCUACUCUUAAACAAGCUGAAAGAAUAUCUCACAUAAAGACAGAACAUAUGUAGGAUGGGGAGAAGAGUCUGAAGAAAAUGGUAUAUAUGGAAGACUCAUGGUGUCAUUGUCAUUGACAUAUCGUGAGUGUAAAGAGAAAUAUUUGGAAUUUACACUUGAGGUCUCUAAAUGUCAACUAAAGAGAAGAAGCUCUCUUUAAGAGACAAAAAGAAUCAUUGAAGAUGACUGAGCAGAGUAUAGGUCUGAUCAGAUUUAUGAUUUAGGUUUACAUCAGCUGUAUCCAUAAAAGUUUUUAAGUAUUACUUAAAAGUUGGAGGGUACUUUGUUCUCAUUCAGCCUCAAAGUUCAUGAAUUAAAAAAAAAAAGGAAAAGAAUAAAUUGAGCUCAUUUGUCCUAUAAUUCCACAUGUAUGAGUUAGAGAAAUACUUUCAUUCUUGUAUUCAAAUAUCAUUCUCUUCUCUUACAGCAUGAAUUUAUACAAGUUUCUUUGAAAAAAAAGUACAUGAAGAAGGCUGGUAUAGUGUAUUCUAAAAAUAUACUCUAUUAAUAGAAUUUAACAUAUUUAUUUAUGAAUCUUUUUACCUUACUCUCCAUUGGAAGAGUUGGGUAGAUAUAAACACAAAAGUAAGCAAGAUAAAAACACAGAAGUAGUUGUUCUUUUCAAAUUGAGGAUAUUGGAAUCAGGUUAUGGUUGAGUACAGAGGUACAUUUUGCUGCUGAGGGUCAAAGUUUAAAAAAAUGACUAUAAUUCUGGUUAUAAAAGGAAAAUCUGGAGAAUCAAAUAGAGUUGACAUAUAAAAGUUAAACA